rnacentral:rRNA from 1 species
CCUACGGGUGGCUGCAGUGGGGAAUAUUGGACAAUGGGCGAAAGCCUGAUCCAGCCAUGCCGCGUGUGUGAAGAAGGCCUUCGGGUUGUAAAGCACUUUCAGUGGGGUAGAAAGCCUUGGGGCUAAUACCCUCGAGGAAGGACAUCACCCACAGAAGAAGCACCGGCUAACUCCGUGCCAGCAGCCGCGGUAAUACGGAGGGUGCGAGCGUUAAUCGGAAUUACUGGGCGUAAAGCGCGCGUAGGCGGUCUGAUAAGCCGGUUGUGAAAGCCCCGGGCUCAACCUGGGAACGGCAUCCGGAACUGUCAGGCUAGAGUGCAGGAGAGGAAGGUAGAAUUCCCGGUGUAGCGGUGAAAUGCGUAGAGAUCGGGAGGAAUACCAGUGGCGAAGGCGGCCUUCUGGACUGACACUGACGCUGAGGUGCGAAAGCGUGGGUAGCAAACAGGAUUAGAUACCCCAGUAGUC